rnacentral:rRNA from 1 species
UACGGAGGAUCCAAGCGUUAUCCGGAUUUAUUGGGUUUAAAGGGUGCGUAGGCGGCCUAUUAAGUCAGGGGUGAAAGACGGUAGCUUAACUAUCGCAGUGCCCUUGAUACUGAUGGGCUUGAAUGUACCUGAGGUAGGCGGAAUGUGACAAGUAGCGGUGAAAUGCAUAGAUAUGUCACAGAACACCAAUUGCGAAGGCAGCUUACUAAAGUAUGAUUGACGCUGAGGCACGAAAGCGUGGGGAUCAAACAGG